rnacentral:lncRNA from 1 species
AUGUGCAGUGGGGGGUGGUGGUCGGGGUCACGCCGGACCCCACGAGGACACCGAAAGUGCAGGUUAGGAGGAGGUAGCUGGGGGUCACGCCGGACCCCAGGAGGAAAGCGAACGUGCAGGUUAGGAGGAGGGAGGUGGGGGUCACGCCAGACCCCAGGAGGAAAGCGAACGUGCAGGUUAGGAGGAGGGAGGAGGGGGUCACGCCAGACCCCACGAGGACACAGAACGUGCAGGUUAGGAGGAGGGAGGAGGGGGUCACGCCGGACCCCAGAAGGAAAGCGAACGUGCAGGUUGGGAGGAGGGAGGUGGGGGUCACGCCAGACCCCAGGAGGAAAGCGAACGUGCAGGUUAGGAGGAGGGAGGAGGGGGUCACGUCGGACCCCACGAGGACACAGAAAGUGCAGGUUAGGAGGAGGUAGCUGGGGGUCACGCCGGACCCCAGGAGGAAAGCGAACGUGCAGGUUAGGAGGAGGGAGGAGGGGGUCACGCCGGACCCCAGGAGGAAAGCGAACGUACAGGUUAGGAGGAGGGAGGAGGGGGUCACGCCAGACCCCAGGAGGAAAGCGAACGUGCAGGUUAGGAGGAGGGAGGAGGGGGUCACGCCGGACCCCAGGAGGAAAGCGAACGUGCAGGUUAGGAGGAGGGAGGAGGGGGUCACGCCGGACCCCAGGAGGGAAAGCGAACGUGCAGGUUAGGAGGAGGGAGGAGGGGGUCACGCCAGACCCCACGAGGACACAGAACGUGCAGGUUAGAAGGAGAGAGGUGGGGGUCACGCCGGACCCCAGGAGGAAAGCGAACGUGCAGGUUGGGAGGAGGGAGGAGGGGGUCACGCCGGACCCCACGAGGACACAGAACGUGCAGGUUAGGAGGAGGGAGGAGGGGGUCAUGCCAGACCCCACGAGGACACAGAACGUGCAGGUUAGGAGGAGAGAGGUGGGGGUCACGCCGGACCCCACGAGGAAAGCAAACGUGCAGGUUGGGAGGAGGGAGGAGGGGGUCACGCCAGACCCCACGAGGACACAGAACGUGCAGGUUAGGAGGAGAGAGGUGGGGGUCACGCCGGACCCCAGGAGGAAAGCGAACGUACAGGUUAGGAGGAGGGAGGAGGGGGUCACGCCAGACCCCAGGAGGAAAGCGAACGUGCAGGUUAGGAGGAGGGAGGAGGGGGUCACGCCAGACCCCACGAGGACACAGAACGUGCAGGUUAGAAGGAGAGAGGUGGGGGUCACGCCGGACCCCACGAGGACACAGAACGUGCAGGUUAGGAGGAGAGAGGUGGGGGUCACGCCGGACCCCAGGAGGAAAGCGAACGUGCAGGUUGGGAGGAGGGAGGUGGGGGUCACGCCAGACCCCACGAGGACACAAAACGUGCAGGUUAGGAGGAGGGAGGAGGGGGUCACGCCGGACCCCAGGAGGAAAGCGAACGUGCAGGUUGGGAGGAGUGAGGUGGGGGUCACGCCGGACCCCACGAGGACACAGAAAGUGCAGGUUAGGAGGAGGGAGGUGGGGGUCACGCCAGACCCCACGAGUGCACAGAAAGUGCAGGUUAGGAGG